rnacentral:misc_RNA from 1 species
CGGAGAUGGUGAAGGAGGUGGUAGGAUUUGAGGGGGAGCUUGUUUGGGAUGCGACGAAGCCGGAUGGGACACCGCGGAAGCUUAUGGAUAACUCGAAGCUGGCGGCGUUGGGAUGGACCCCGAAGAUUGCUCUGCGGGAGGGGCUGGUUGAGACCUACAAGUGGUAUGUGGAGAAUGUUGUUAAGCAGCGGUGAAUCGGCG